UCCGGUUGAUCCUGCCGGAGGCCAUUGCUAUCGGAGUCCGAUUUAGCCAUGCUAGUCGCACGGGCUUAGACCCGUGGCAGAUAGCUCAGUAACACGUGGCCAAACUGUCCUAUGGAUCGAGAUAACCUCGGGAAACUGAGGCUAAUCUCGAAUAAGGUUUCCACUCUGGAGUGAAGGAAACUGGAAACGCCCCGGCGCCAUAGGAUGUGGCUGCGGCCGAUUAGGUAGACGGUGGGGUAACGGCCCACCGUGCCGAUAAUCGGUACGGGUUGUGAGAGCAAGAGCCCGGAGACGGAAUCUGAGACAAGAUUCCGGGCCCUACGGGGCGCAGCAGGCGCGAAAACUUUACACUGCACGACAGUGCGAUAAGGGGACUCCGAGUGCGAGGGCAUAUAGUCCUCGCUUUUCUGAACCGUAAGGUGGUUCAGGAAUAAGGACUGGGCAAGACCGGUGCCAGCCGCCGCGGUAAUACCGGCAGUCCAAGUGAUGGCCGCUAUUAUUGGGCCUAAAGCGUCCGUAGCCAGCCAGACAGGUCCGUCGGGAAAUCCACUCGCUCAACGAGUGGGCGUCCGGCGGAAACCAGCUGGCUUGGGGCCGGAAGAUCCGAGGGGUACGUCCGGGGUAGGAGUGAAAUCCCGUAAUCCUGGACGGACCACCGGUGGCGAAAGCGCCUCGGAAAGACGGACCCGACGGUGAGGGACGAAAGCUAGGGUCACGAACCGGAUUAGAUACCCGGGUAGUCCUAGCUGUAAACGAUGCUCGCUAAGUAUGGCACACACUACGAGUGUGUGCUGUGCUGUAGUGAAGACGAGAAGCGAGCCGCCUGGGAAGUACGUCCGCAAGGAUGAAACUUAAAGGAAUUGGCGGGGGA
rnacentral:rRNA from 1 species